UGGAGAAUAUUGGACAAUGGGGGCAACCCUGAUCCAGCCAUGCCGCGUGAGUGAUGAAGGCCUUCGGGUUGUAAAGCUCUUUUGGCGGGGACGAUGAUGACGGUACCCGCAGAAUAAGCCCCGGCUAACUACGUGCCAGCAGCCGCGGUAAUACGUAGGGGGCAAGCGUUGUCCGGAUUUACUGGGUGUAAAGGGCGCGCAGGCGGGAUAAAAAGUCAGUGGUGAAAUCCUACAGCUUAACUGUAGAACUGCCUUUGAUACUUUUAUUCUUGAGUUCGGGAGAGAGAGACGGAAUUCCAGGUGUAGUGGUGAAAUACGUAGAUAUCUGGAAGAACACCAGUUGCGAAGGCGGUCUCUUGGUCCGACACUGACGCUGAGGCGCGAAAGCGUGGGGAGCAAACA
rnacentral:rRNA from 1 species